UUGGCCUCGACUCUACUCCAACCCAUUGUGACCUUACCUAUGUUCUGUUGCCUCGGCGGCGUGGUCAGCGCCCCUCUGAAAAGAGGACGAUGCCCUCCCGCCGGCAGCACCAAACUCGAGAAUUUUACAGCGGAUUACAGUUCUGAUUUGAAAACAAAAAAACAAGUUAAAACUUUCAACAACGGAUCUCUUGGUUCUGGCAUCGAUGAAGAACGCAGCGAAAUGCGAUAAGUAAUGUGAAUUGCAGAAUUCAGUGAAUCAUCGAAUCUUUGAACGCACAUUGCGCCCGGCAGUAAUCUGCCGGGCAUGCCUGUCCGAGCGUCAUUUCAACCCUCGAACCUCCGUUUCCUCAGGGAAGCUCAGGGUCGGUGUUGGGGCGCUACGGCGAGUCUUCGCGACCCUCCGUAGGCCCUGAAAUACAGUGGCGGUCCCGCCGCGGUUGCCUUCUGCGUAGUAAGUCUCUUUUGCAAGCUCGCAUUGGGUCCCGGCGGAGGCCUGCCGUCAAACCACCUAUAACUCCAGAUGGUUUGACCUCGGAUCAGGUAGGGUUACCCGCUGAACUUAAGCAUAUCAAA
rnacentral:rRNA from 1 species